GCGUUCAUUAGAGCCUGGUUGCAGUCGUGAGAAAUUAAUUAAUACAUUUAACACAGUAAAUUAACAUGCUUUACACCUUUAUUUUCACAUUGCUGAUACCAUCAACUCUCGCAUACACAGUAAAAGUGAAAGGCACUAUUGAACUUGGUGACCAGAUAGCCGACAUAUUAAAAGAGUUCAAGGACCGAUUUGUCAGACAAAUGGAAGACUUACCUUCAAUAAAUAACGUUAAAACUGUGUCGGUACCUGUUGCUGAGAACAGCGAUGGUAUGCCUCAGCCUCGAGACGUCCCAUUUCUGAACGAUAUUCCAAUAAUGGAGAACACACAAGAAAAGGAUGUUAGCGUAGAAUCUAUUGAUGUCCCGUUGCUGGAUGAGAUAGUAAGCAAAAAAGAAGGUCGAGUGCAUAUUUAUGGGAAUCACAAAAAUAGUAAGGCUAGAAGACCACACGAACCCUUAAACAAUAUCGUUGUGUAAGUGACCUGAAACGUUUAACAAAUAAAACAAUGAUCAUU